UGUGCUUGUGUGGACUGCAAUAGAAAGAAAGAACAGGGAAAUAGAGAACACAGAGAAUGAGAUUACAAUUAGAUGUUCUACGAUUGCAACAAGGAAAGAAGAAAGAAGGCGAAUCCGAAUAAGAGAAUGAGUUUACUAGAUACAUCAGAUGGAGAAAAAAACAUCAGACGUAGCCAUGGCUGUGACUUAUGGCAUCAAGGUUGUUGUCCGAGGGUCGAAGCAGAGAACACGAUGAUCUGAAACAUUUUCGUUUUUUUUCAUUAGAGGGCUUGAUAUGGAAAACAUUUAGUUUUUUUCGUGUGUGCUUGUGUUUGGUUCAAGACCAGUGGGGGGACAAAGAACAACAAAGAUCUAGAUUGGUUUUUAGAUUUUAUACAUUUCGAUUUUGUGUUAGUUUCGAUUUUGUGAUAUUCAUCUUUAGGAGAUUUGGUAACAAAGAUCUGAAGACGACACGUACAAUGUUGGUUCUGUGAUGUUCAUCUUCAAUAAAGCUGGAAGAUAUUUUGUUAUGUUCAUCUUAGUCUCCUGAAUUUGAUUAUUGGGUGAGCGAUUUUUUAUUCUUAGUUUCUAGAUUUCGAUCCUUAGAUGGUUGAAAGAUUUCUUUAAUGUUGGUUUUGGAAUGAUGAUAAAUACAAAAUGAUUGGUAUCUGUA